GCUCUGAGGGAUAGUUCAGUUGGUAGAGCAUGCGGCCCUUUAAUCUCAGGGUUGUGGGUUCAAGCCCCAUGUUGGGCA